GACGAACGCUGGCGGCGUGCUUAACACAUGCAAGUCGAGCGGUAAGGCCCUUUCGGGGGUACACGAGCGGCGAACGGGUGAGUAACACGUGGGUGACCUGCCCUCAGCUCUGGGAUAAGCCUGGGAAACCGGGGUCUAAUACCGGAUAUGACUCCAUGACGCAUGUUGUGGGGUGGAAAGCCUUGUGCGGCUGAGGAUGGGCCCGCGGCCUAUCAGCUUGUUGGUGGGGUGAGGCCUACCAAGGCGACGACGGGUAGCCGGCCUGAGAGGGCGACCGGCCACACUGGGACUGAGACACGGCCCAGACUCCUACGGGAGGCAGCAGUGGGGAAUCUUGCGCAAUGGGCGAAAGCCUGACGCAGCGACGCCGCGUGAGGGAUGACGGCCUCGGUUGUAA
rnacentral:rRNA from 1 species